rnacentral:rRNA from 1 species
AGCGAACGCUGGCGGCAGGCCUAACACAUGCAAGUCGAGCGCCCCGCAAGGGGAGCGGCAGACGGGAGAGUAACACGUGGGAACGUACCCUUCAGUUCGGAACAACCCAGGGAAACUUGGGCUAAUACCGAAUACGUCCGUAAGGAGAAAGAUUUAUCGCUGAAGGAUCGGCCCGCGUCUGAUUAGCUAGUUGGUGAGGUAACGGCUCACCAAGGCGACGAUCAGUAGCUGGUCUGAGAGGAUGAUCAGCCUCACUGGGACUGAGACACGGCCCAGACUCCUACGGGAGGCAGCAGUGGGGAAUAUUGGACAAUGGGCGCAAGCCUGAUCCAGCCAUGCCGCGUGGAUGAUGAAGGCCCUAGGGUUGUAAAGUCCUUUCGGCGGGGAAGAUAAUGACGGUACCCGCAGAAGAAGCCCCGGCUAACUUCGUGCCAGCAGCCGCCGCCGUAA